UCCCCUGCUUCCUUGUUUACUCCAGGUGCCUCACCUGAGGACAGCACGGUGGAGCUUAUCCAAAAUGGCGUCUCCACAUCGGCCCACUUCCCCUUCCGGAUGUUCACCUUCACCAGGAACUCCUCCAGUGUCUUCCUGCACUGUCAGGUCCACCUGUGUCUGCUGCACCUCAACGACUGCACCACUCACUGCUACACUGGGUACACCACAGAGGACGCAGGGAUGUGUCCCUUCCACGACAGCGCUGCCAUUUCCAUGGGACCUCUGGUUUUGAAUGGAAGAGACAGAGAUAUGUGAUUCCAAUACCAGAGAGAGUGAGUGGAGCCCCAGGUCAGAUUGGCUCCCGGUGACCCUGUGCUCUCUGUCCUCCUGACUGUCCACAACACUGAUAUAGGACCAAUCUGUCUCAUGUCAAACCCAGGCUUGGGUCUGUGCGGUUCCAAAAUAAUCUGCAUAUGACUGAAGAGACCAUGUAGAGUGUGUGUUGAGGUGUACAAUGAAGUAGAUCAACCUUCACAGUGAUAUUGUUAAUGGUGAUAUAGUGAUAAUGUUUGAGUGAAGGGACAUAGUGUGUUUGAGGUUGUACGAUGAAGUCGAUAAACUAUACAGUAAUAUUGUGAAUAUUGUUAAUUUAUCGUUUGAUUUAGUGCAAUUCCCCCCUGAAAAUUAAAAUGUGUUUGAUAGAGGAAUUUAUUCUAUGUGUCGUUAACCAAUUCAAUUAAAACAAAGCAAACACUCUGUCCGUUUCUAAGAAUUUGUAAGGUUCUUAUUUGCCCAAAUGGACAGAGACCAGCCACCAAAUUAAUCAAAUAGCGUUUAUUCUCGAGAGCUCUGACGUGCAUAUACAAAACCGUACUUUUUAUCCCUUCUCUUAAACUAACGCACAUACAUUACACACUACAUUUGGAUUAUCCCCUGAAGUCUCACCACAGUUUAUUACCACUCAGUGACAGUUCCAGUCCCUCCAAGAUACGGAAACC